rnacentral:rRNA from 1 species
UACGAAGGGGGCUAGCGUUGCUCGGAAUCACUGGGCGUAAAGGGUGCGUAGGCGGGUCUUUAAGUCAGGGGUGAAAUCCUGGAGCUCAACUCCAGAACUGCCUUUGAUACUGAAGAUCUUGAGUACAGGAGAGGGUGGGGGAAUUCCUGGUGUAGCGGUGAAAUGCGUAGAUAUCAGGAGGAACACCGGUGGCGAAGGCGCCCACCUGGCCUGCUACUGACGCUGAUGCUCGAAAGCUAGGGGAGCAAACGGG